AGACCAAAUUGCAAAACUCAUCUUAAAAUAGCCCUGGUGACCCAAACCUUUGCCUUUGUGGAAAAAAUAAAAUAACAACCAAAAAAACCAUAACAACACCCCUAACUAGAGAACUGGAAACUGUGUGUUCCCCUCCGCGUGGUUUCCGGCAUGCUCACCUGUCGGGGCAGCGGAAGGAAGAGGCAGGGGAGCAGGGCCUCAAAAGCCGACCGAGGAGCGGAGGUGUGCGCAGCUCCCGCACAGGCGCUGCUGGGAGCCGCAGCUGUCUGUGCAGACAUCCUGCAUCCACGGCCUCCCGCCCUUGGAAGUCGCUCUGCCAAGCGGCCCGCUCUGAGGACCGUCCCAAGGGACCGCCGCGCCGCACCGCCUCGCCGGCCCGGCUGCUGCCCAGGGCGGCUCCCCGGAGGCACGGAGCAGCCUCUGAAGGACGCAGCGGCACAACUCCGCAGAGGCCCCCGGGGCCUGCCCGUGCGACCACGAGCGGGUGGGGAAUGUGGUAUUUGCAGUCCCACAAGGGGAUGGAGGGGCUGAAUUAAGAUCCAGAUACUAAAUUACAACGGUAAAAACCACAAACCAACCACCCAGGAAACCUUCACAGGCUAUUCUUGAGGGGAGGGUGGUUAGCAAGACUUAGAAGUAGCGAGAGUUAACAAAUGCUUCUUUUCUGACCUAGACUGAGAAAACAGCCUGCCUGCUGAGGAACCAGUGCCCUUCCUCCCCAACGCCAGCUGCACCAUCCUCUCGCACACAUGUAACCCACAGGAGCCACCCUGAACUGGGGCUGGCACCCCCUCCUGCCAUGGCCCGUUUCUAGUCAGUGUUGCUUAUAUACCGAAUGUUGCCACUCUCCUAAAGCGAUUUGCUAAAAAAUUGCACCCCUCCCUCCCCCCCGCUGAUCUUUUCAUACAAAGGUUAAAAUGAAGGUAGGAAAAAACCCCAUAAAAAUAUGAGACUGCUAGAAAUUGCUGAUCCAAAGGAAAACAGAGCCAGAACUCAAGCAGGGCCUGUAUUGUGAAGGUCUGAGAACCCUCUGAGAGCAGUGUUGAACUGUAGGCACAGAAGAGGAGAUCUUAAGGCUGGGGAGCUAGGCAAUGCAGCCUCAGACAGGCAGGAAAAGAGCUAAAUCCCUUGAAAUCCAACCUCUGAGAGCAGAGCCAGCUCUGUGCGACUCCCAGACUGUGUCCUGGCUGUACCACGAGAGGAGGCUGGAGAGCUUAACGGCGACAGCUCUGCACUCUGCGCUCCACUCUGACCUCCCCUCUCGCAGCCAGCACUGGCAGGACUGGCCCCUGGUCUCCUGCUCUCCCCGCGCUACGCUGCGACUGCACCGCCGCCUUCCCUCUGCCGUCAGCCAACGUCGACGUAAUCCCGGCCCGCUCACAGCCAACUCCCCAGCCCCAGGGACAAGGGCGGCUCAGCCCUGAGCCUCAGACCCCACUGAAGAGUUCCCGUUCACACCCCCUCCUUGACAGCGUGGGCUCACUUGUUUUCCUUUUUACUUCAUAAAGCAGGUUUGGCCUAUUUUCAGAUCCUGGUUCUCCAGGAACGAGUGCCAAAACCAAAAGUGCUUGAGUUUGACUUCAGAGGUUUCAGCUUUCCAGUGCCUGCAGUCCUGCAUCACAGAGGCCCUUUGGAAGCGUUAUCCCCAGAGGUAUUCAAAUACUUUCCCUCAUUUCUUUUACUGAGAAAAGUACCCUCAAAAACAUUCCACUGUGGAAAACUUUUCUUGUCUCCAGUAUCUAUGGGAUUUUUUGCAUCUUCUUAGGGCAAGACCUUCACUGGGGCCUGCCCCACUUCUCAGUGUUGCUUUGCAACUGAAGCACACAAAAACAGCGAAGAAAGGAGAGGAAGUGGCCGCUUACACCACAGUGUGAGGGAGCUGCCUGCACUUCAAAGCUCCCGAGGCUCUCUGCAGACAGGAAGGGCUGCUCUGUGACGCUGGGGCGUGAGGCAAGCCGAUGGCAAGGAAACAGCGAGGCCGAUGGGAUGUGAAAGCUGCGAGUGUGUCAAAGGCAGGACGGAAGCCUCGUAGGGGGCAGCCCUAUUUUUAGCCACCUCUUGCAGAACUUUGCUAAUGCUUGCUGUAGUGAAAUAGCUGUUUCCCCUUUCCUUGAUGUAAGCAGAGUUGACUGAGUUCGGGUCUGUUUUUAUUUAGCUACUCACACGAUAGUAUUAAGUGAAAGGUCCCUUAAGCCCCUCAGACUCGGAAACACCCAUGAUCAGAGAGUCCUAGGUGAAGAGAACAGAAAGCAUCUGACCGCUUCCCUGUCUCCAUUUCAGGACUGUGAGAGGUAGAAACUGAAGCUGAGGCUGCAGAGCAUGACUCUUAGUCACAUCAGCAUGGGAUUUUGCAAUACAGUGGGUGCAGGGCACAGGGCAGGGAGUGUGCAAGCAAAUCUGAAGCACUUUGCUGGGGCAUUUGAUUGGGGUUCUCCAGCUGCAAGGCCUGAGAACCAGUGUGCAACCUCACUUUCCCGCUCCACUUCAACCUGCUCAGCUGCUCUAGGUGUGUGGGAGGGCAGAAGGGUUUAAAACACCUCAAAUUAGCAUGGAGCAUUGUGGAGCGCAAUAGGUUGCCAUGGUCGUCCUGUACCUGGCUUCUUUCAACGUUUGUCAGGAUUAAAUGACUCCCACGCUUGCCAUAGGGAAACACAUAGGGAGAGGCCACUCCUAAACCAGACAGGAGAGAACAUUAGGUAGCAAUGCAGAGGAGCAGCCAGGGGAGAAAGUGAGUGUGGGAUGCAACGUAAUUGUUCUGUACAGGGCUGUAAGCACCAAGACAGGAUCCAGACUACUCCAGCUACUGGGAGUCUGGACAAUUCCUGGUAUGCAGGUGACUUGCAGUAUUCAGUUUAGGGGCAGCUUGGGAAGGAUGGUGGUCAGGCCUACGCAGUCAGAGCUUCCUGCUGCUCUGAGCAGGCGUGGUCCCCCUGCUCGAUGUCAGAGAGGAAUGAGAUUGCUGUGGGGAAGGGAGGAAAGAGCAUUAGGAGCCAAAAUUGAUGCAGUUCUGGGGCAUUUCCAGAGCAAACUCUUUCCAAGACUGGCAGCAGUGAGGAGAAGCAAUGGGACGAGCAGAUGAAAAUGAUGCUUACUCUGUGCCUGUAGAGCCUGAUGUGACUGGGAGGCAACAUAAAGCCCUGUCCCAUACUUUAGUCUCUCUGCUGUAACUCCAUCAAAGAUACACGUUUAAUAGCAUUCCCAGAAGUCCAGAGCUCCCCAGAGCCCCUCAGAUACCUCUACAAGGCACCCACAUGCCCCUGCAGUGCUUUGUAUCUGAUGCUUUACACUGUCUUUCAUCCCAAUAUUGGAUUCAUUGCUUAGCUAUAUAGCCCUUUCUUAAGCUGGAUUGAUUAAAGCAGGGUUUGCAGUUCUUGGACCAAAGAUGUGGAUGGAGAAAUGCUUUGUACUAUAACAAUUAUUAAUUAGAAAUGAGAAAGCCUUUGUAAGGAGGUAGCAAGAGAAGCAGAUUAUUAACAGUGUCAUUCCUGUCCAAGGGAAUGUGCUGGAAAGUCACUUUGGCCUCUAGAUGGCACCCCUAUUAUUCACUCAUCAAAAUGCUGAGAAGUACAAAAACCCCUUCCUUUUAAAAACUGGACUUAAAGACAGGGCUUACAGUUGGGUAGUUCAGACCAAAAACUACAGGCAGUCAGAAUUCCACUGAAAACAAACUGGGUUUGUUUUUUUCCCCUCUUCUCGUUCAAAAUGAGAAGCAUGGCUUUGCCUCCCUCUUGAUUCCAUACUUAGGUCUGUAAUGGACCAGGAAUUAUAUUUCUGGGGAAUUGAUCCUGAAAUUCCCAAAGCUGGAUGAAAACCAAAGCAGAGAUUUGGUAGUUUGCGUAGGCCUGAAGCCUGUACAGGUUUGGAUAUGUGCUUCUCCUCAUGUGUGAGGCAGCUCUCCUGGGGCAGGAGCAGGGCCCCCUCAGCGCGCGGGAUGCUCUUGGUCUUUGCUGCUAUCUGUGGCCUUCGGGGAUGUGGGGCUGUGAACUUCGAGAGAACCAAAGCCACACUGUGCCAAAGCUAUUUGUACAGUAAAUUGCUUUUUUGUUUCACUAAAAAAUUGCAGCCAGGCAUUUAAUGGCUCCCAUCUGCAGCAGCUUUGUGUGAUUCACUUUCUACUUUAAGGUUUUAAUUCUUUUUUUCUUUUUUAAGCACAGGGACAAAAAAGGAGAGUUAAUGUCUCUAAUGUUGAUGGAUGUAUCUUCAUGCUCUGUCUCUAUUUCAAAUGAGAUAAACCAGGCUUUGGAGGGAGAAGGGUCAUAAAUAUUUCCUUGUGUGAGUAGAGAUGCUCGGAGUAGGAAUCAUGGGAGCCUACUAAAGCUGGCUAUUAGCAAAAAGUGUUAAUAGACUGUCUUUCUAAUUGACUUAAAAGGUACUUAGUUGACCCCAUUGCUGUAUUUCCUGAGAGCUCAUAGUCUUUACUUCCUCCAUCCUCGCAACACCCUGGGAUGUUAAGUGCCAGAGAGGGAAGUGAGACACAGAGAGAAUGCAAAUCAAAUUUUACAGGGGCUUGGUAUCUCGAGACAGGGUUUACAUGUCCAACCUGGCUGAAAUCAAAAGGAGUCAGGGACCAGGCCCCUUCUGAAGUCCAGCUAGGCACUCUGCUGGCAUCUUUAAGUGCCUCAGUACCUGCAAUACUCCUCCCUAGGUGACAAGUGCGAAGCGUGUGUCACAGCCUUGCCUGAACAGGGUGCACAAAGAAGGCAGAUGACAUCCACAGGGGACAGAAAUGUGAUAUUCUUAAUUGAUAGCUUGGGGAGCUGAUAAUAAGAUAGAAAGAAUGUUCUUACACUGUGUAAUUUUGCCUUGAUGCUGUCCUUCACGAACGAUUAGCCUUUAAGCAGAACAUUCCACUGAGGUCCCACGUGUUUUGUCGAGGCACCUCGGAACAGGGCUGAAUCAGUUGUUCUCCACCACCAGCAAGGCCGUGGGGAUCAGGAAUGUACCUCUCAGGUUAUGGGCAGUAGAGGUGCCAUCAGAGGUGGAAUCUACUGUUUCUGGCCAGGAAGGAGCAGAAAGGAGAUAAAUGUGUAAGGAAAAAAAAGGGAAAUAGCUCUUAAAAUAGUUUUUUAGGGUUUUUUCACUUUAAUAAAACAGAACAAAACGCAUAAGAAAUUUAUGGUCUGAUCUGAAUCCUACUGAUGUUCAUGGAAAGCUCUUCAGUGAGUAUAGGACCAGGUCCAAGAAAAGCAGGUUAUUAUUCCCUUAACUUCUAUUUAUCCAUAGCUGUGCCCUGCUGCAUGCAGUCUUGUUAGAACUUGCCCGCAGGUUUAAUAUGAGCCUCAUCAGCAGUGGUCCUGAAUAAGAAAUUGAGAUCACCUGUCUCUUCACUCUGAUCCAGUCUGCCCAGAGCAGUGCCAACAGUAAGAUGCCUUGAUUGCAUGAGAGGUAGCUGCUGCCUUGACCAGAGCACCCUGGCAGGAUCCCCUACAGUAAGACCCAACUAAGAGGUGCGUGACCUCUCACCAUCUUAUCUCUUGUCUCCUCUGCCUACUGAGUGAUUUUAGCCACAGCAAAACCAUAACAGCUCAAUAAAAUGGUUUCUGCAUGAACAGUUUAGUGAAAAUAUCUAUGUUUGGUUGUGAUCAAAAACGCAAAUUAAAAAUCCUUUGGGGUAUAUAAGGAGUUGUCCAGAAAAUCACCUUGUGUUGCCAGGACCAGAACAAAGCCGGGCACCUGGAAGCAAUCUCUCCUCCAACGUGGGAGACUGGGGAGAGAAACCAGGUUCCAGUCCUGACUCUGCCAAGGGUUUCUGGGUGCUCUCUCUAAUGAGUCAUUGCUAAAUCUGUGCACCUGCCAUAAAAGAAGUCAAUAAGAAAAGCUGACUCUUGUUUCAUUGUUUUAGGGAGGGUAUAUUGUUUUAGGGGGAGCUUUGUGCUUGAAUCUCUCUACAUCUGUACUGUCUUUGGUAAACUUGACUGAGUUUGCAAAGCCAAGAGGUUUGAGCUAGGAGUACUUGUGCUGUUCGUAAGGAUGCACCUUCAACAUGGGCCAGGCUUCCUGUUUGCUUUUUGGAGAGCAAGGGUGUUUAUGGAAGUGGUGGUGUGAACAGUCAGUGAGUUUGGGCUUGAGGCUAACCCUGAACCCUGAGUUAUCAAUAUGUAAGUUUAUCAGCACUUGGAAAUUCAGAAUGAAGGUUAUAUCUAAAAUAAGCCCAAACACAUUAAAAGGUUGGAAAUAUGAUUUUGAGCUAACCUAUCCCCCUUCCUGUCCCCAUCCUGCCUCUCUGCUGUGUGACUAUGGCUAUGGUGUCCUAUGGCGUGUGGUUCCAGCUUAGACUGAAUUUGUUCCUGGGGACAUGCUAUGUUUUUGGAGCCAUAAUGUUAUGUUUUUUGGCUAUGGCUGCUCCUGGUGAGCUGUGAGGUAGGAUUAGCCCUCACACAUCCCACCAGUUGUCUGUCCUGCAGUGUUCAUUUGCUGUACAAGGUGAAGAGUGGGAGCAUGUGAUGGGAGAACAUAGCUUUCUGCUGAGGUAUCACCAAAGGAGGCUUCUGGUGUGCCCCCAAAAAAGAGAACAGGAGCUGUACCUUCAGUCCUCUUGGGCUAUGAACAAUGACCACCUCUGGGGUCCCAGGAAGCUGAAAGCUGCUCCAGAUCCACCCUCACAUGAGGAGAAUCCCCCCACGCUCACUUCUGUCUGCGUGUGGCUGCAGGUUCCUUGCCACAGCCUGAACCAGCCCUCCCUGACGUGUGGGCCUUGGGUGGCGUGACACCGUGCUUCCUGGGAGCGGGGCCAUCUGGGCCGGCAUUGCUGGAUGGGCUUCCUCAGCUUGCCCUUACUGCUGAGAGCUGUCCCUAUGAAACUGCUUCUUGCCAGCUGGAAAUUCAGCAUGGCCCUGUAUCUUCUGAAAUUAAGAUUUCAUUAAACAGUUUGAUAAAUUUAA